AUUAUUAUAGUUUGAAAAUUUAUUUUAAGUUUAUUUUACAUAUAAAUUUUAGUGUUAAUUUAAAUUUAUUUUAAAAAUAAAUUUUUAUUUUAAAUAGUAAUUAAUAUUAAAUAUUUAAGAAAUUAAGAUUUAGUAAUAUUUAUAAUUAAUAACAAAUUUUGUGCCAGCAGUUGCGGUUAAACAAAAGUUAAUAUAAAUUUUUUUAGUUGUAAUAAAUGAUGAUUAUUUUUUAAUUUAAAUAUUAGAUUUUUAGGUGAAAUUUUAAUUUAUUUUAAAUAUUAAUAAUUUUUCAUGAUUUAAUAAAUUUUAUAAAAAACUAGGAUUAGAUACCCUAUUAUAAAAAUUUAAAUUAUAAAAACUUAAAUAGUAAUUAAUUAUUUAUUGAAAUUUAAAUAAAAUGGCGGUAUUUUAGUUCAUUUAGAGGAAUCUGUUUAAUAAUUGAUAAUCCACGAGUAAAUUUACUUAUUUUAAAAUUUUGUAUAUCGUUGUUAAAAAAAUAUUUAUUUAUAAAAAUAAUAUUUAAGAUUUAAAAUUAGAAAUUAAAUCAAAUCAAGAUGCAGAUUAUAAAUAAGAAUAUAAUGGAUUACAAUAAAUUUAUUUAGAUGGANUUUAAUUUGAAAAAUUUAAUUAAAAGUGGAUUUAAAUGUAAUUUUAUUUAAACUGAUAAAAUGAUUUUUAAUUAAAAUAUGUACAUAUUGCCCGUCGCUUUCAUAUGAAAUUAUAAAUUUUAUAAUUAUAAAUUGAAAUAAGUCGUAACAAAGUAGAGGUACUGGAAAGUGUUUCUAG
rnacentral:ncRNA from 1 species